UUACGGCCACAUCACGUGGAAACACUGGUUCCCGUACGAUCACCAAAGUUAAGCAACGUCGAGCCUGGUCAGUACCUAGAUGGGA